rnacentral:rRNA from 1 species
UUAAGAGCGACGGGCGAUGUGUGCAUGUUUUAGAGCUAUAAUCAAAUAAAUUAUAUCCAUUAUUUUACUUUUAAAUCCACCUUAAAAUCAUUAUUGCAAACAAUUUAACGUUUAAAUAAAUUUAUUGUAACCCAUCUCUACUAAAAUAUAAACUGCACCUUGACCUGACAUCAAUUAUAAUUUUAAAUUAAGAAAAUUAUUACUCUUUUAAGAUAUUCUGAUAACGGCGAUAUACAAAUUGAAAACAAAUUUUAGUAAGGUCCAACGUGGAUUAUCGAUUACAGGACAGGUUCCUCUAAAUAGACUAAAACACCGCCAAAUUCUUUAAGUUUGAAGAUCAUAUCUAUUACUACUCUAGUAUUAACAUUUACUAUUUAAAUAAUAGGGUAUCUAAUCCUACUUUA